AGCGAACGCCGGCGGCAGGCCUAACACAUGCAAGUCGAGCGCCGUAGCAAUACGGAGCGGCAGACGGGAGAGUAACACGUGGGAACGUACCCUUUGGUUCGGAACAACCCAGGGAAACUUGGGCUAAUACCGGAUAAGCCCUCACGGGGAAAGAUUCAUCGCCGAAGGAUCGGCCCGCGUCUGAUUAGCUAGUUGGUGGGGUAAUGGCCCACUAAGGCGACGAUCAGUAGCUGGUCUGAGAGGAUGAUCAGCCUCACUGGGACUGAGACACGGCCCAGACUCCUACGGGAGGCAGCAGUGGGGAAUACUGGACAAUGGGCGCAAGCCUGAUCCAGCCAUGCCGCGUGGGUGAUGAAGGCCCUAGGGUUGUAAAGCCCUUUCGGCGGGGAAGAUAAUGACGGUACCCGCAGAAGAAGCCCCGGCUAACUUCGUGCCAGCCGCCGCCGUAAGAC
rnacentral:rRNA from 1 species